rnacentral:lncRNA from 1 species
UUUUUCGUACCUAUCUGAAAAGUAACAAAACAUUUAAUUUUCCUCGUAAAUGUCCGAAAGAUAUAAAAGUAAAAAAAAGACAACAAAAUACCUCAAAAAAUUCUCAAACUGCACCAAUGACCUUAGAAUAUCGGGAAAAAAAAGAACAAAAUCUUACUCUUUUUUGUAACUGUCCGAGAAGUAACAAAAAAAAAAAAUUCCUC